rnacentral:rRNA from 1 species
ACGGGUGAGUAACACGUGGGAAACCUACCUCUUAGCAGGGGAUAACAUUUGGAAACAGAUGCUAAUACCGUAUAACAAUAGCAACCGCAUGGUUGCUACUUAAAAGAUGGUUCUGCUAUCACUAAGAGAUGGUCCCGCGGUGCAUUAGUUAGUUGGUGAGGUAAUGGCUCACCAAGACGAUGAUGCAUAGCCGAGUUGAGAGACUGAUCGGCCACAAUGGGACUGAGACACGGCCCAUACUCCUACGGGAGGCAGCAGUAGGGAAUCUUCCACAAUGGGCGAAAGCCUGAUGGAGCAACGCCGCGUGUGUGAUGAAGGGUUUCGGCUCGUAAAACACUGUUGUAAGAGAAGAAUGACAUUGAGAGUAACUGUUCAAUGUGUGACGGUAUCUUACCAGAAAGGAACGGCUAAAUACGUGCCAGCAGCCGCGGUAAUACGUAUGUUCCAAGCGUUAUCCGGAUUUAUUGGGCGUAAAGCGAGCGCAGACGGUUAUUUAAGUCUGAAGUGAAAGCCCUCAGCUCAACUGAGGAAUUGCUUUGGAAACUGGAUGACUUGAGUGCAGUAGAGGAAAGUGGAACUCCAUGUGUAGCGGUGAAAUGCGUAGAUAUAUGGAAGAACACCAGUGGCGAAGGCGGCUUUCUGGACUGUAACUGACGUUGAGGCUCGAAAGUGUGGGUAGCAAACAGGAUUAGAUACCCUGGUAGUCCACACCGUAAACGAUGAGUGCUAGGUGUUUGAGGGUUUCCGCCCUUAAGUGCCGCAGCUAACGCAUUAAGCACUCCGCCUGGGGAGUACGACCGCAAGGUUGAAACUCAAAGGAAUUGACGGGGACCCGCACAAGCGGUGGAGCAUGUGGUUUAAUUCGAAGCAACGCGAAGAACCUUACCAGGUCUUGACAUCCCUUGACAACUCCAGAGAUGGAGCGUUCCCUUCGGGGACAAGGUGACAGGUGGUGCAUGGUUGUCGUCAGCUCGUGUCGUGAGAUGUUUGGGUUAAGUCCCGCAACGAGCGCAACCCUUAUUACUAGUUGCCAGCAUUUAGUUGGGCACUCUAAUUGAGACUGCCGGUGACAAACCGGAGGAAAAGUGGGGAAUAACGU